rnacentral:rRNA from 1 species
UACGUAGGGUGCAAGCGUUGUCCGGAAUUAUUGGGCGUAAAGAGCUCGUAGGCGGUCUGUCACGUCGGCUGUGAAAACCCGAGGCUCAACCUCGGGCCUGCAGUCGAUACGGGCAAACUAGAGUACUGCAGGGGAGACUGGAAUUCCUGGUGUAGCGGUGAAAUGCGCAGAUAUCAGGAGGAACACCGGUGGCGAAGGCGGUUCUCUGGGCCUGUACUGACGCUGAGGAACGAAAGCGUGGGGAGCGAACAGG